UCCGAGUUGACCCCGGCAGUCUCCUACGAGUCCCCGGCAUAACCCGCUGGUAACAUAAGACAAGGGUUGCGCUCGUUGCGGGACUUAACCCAACAUCUCACGACACGAGCUGACGACAACCAUGCACCACCUGUGCACGGCCCUUACGGACCCCGCAUCUCUACGAGAUUUCCGUGCAUGUCAAGCCUAGGUAAGGUUCUUCGCGUUGCAUCGAAUUAAGCAACAUGCUCCACCGCUUGUGCGGGCCCCCGUCAAUUCCUUUGAGUUUUAGCCUUGCGGCCGUACUCCCCAGGCGGGGAACUUAAUGCGUUAGCUGCGGCACGGAUCUCGUGGAAUGAGACCCACACCUAGUUCCCAACGUUUACGGCAUGGACUAC
rnacentral:misc_RNA from 1 species